rnacentral:tRNA from 2 species
GGCCCCAUCGUCUAGUGGCCCAGGACGGUACCCUCUCAAGGUAUAAACACGGGUUCGAUUCCCGUUGGGGCCG